GAGGCAGGUUCACCUGGUGAGUUGAUUGCAGGGCACGUGGAUCAGGCAAAAAGCCAAAGGGCAGCAGGCGAGGUUGCUGCUGUCAUCUCCCAGUCGACUCUCUCCUCAGCAGAGACCAGACCUGCCCCUCGCCUUGUAGCCCUGCACUUCGUGUUUGUUUUCUCAGCACCUCUGUGAAACAAGAAAGGACCAAGCCUGCCAGAAAUAAGGACACGGGGAGACACUGUAAGAAAUUCCUGGAUCUCCCCUGGGUCCUGACCAUCAUGUGGCCACAGAAAUUGGUAACAUUCAGUUUCCUGAUGUGGGUGAAGUGUGGAGCCCAGUGAUGCUUUCUUCUUCAAGAAACGUACAUCCUAGUUCCCACAGGAGGGUGAGCCCCCUGUCCAACGAUGAGAGACCCUACAUGUGUGUGACCUGUGCCUCCUGGGAGACCAGCCCUAAACUCACCUGAACCUGACCAAGUUCUGUCUACAUGUCGACUCUCUCCUCCAAAGAGAACGGAGCUGCCCCUCAUCUUCCAGCCCAGCUCUCCCGUUUUCUCAACAUCUCAGCGGGACAAGAAAGACAGAGCCUGCCAGAACCAAGAUUCCUUGAAGUGGCACCAGCUACCCGCAGCACUUGGCAGCUGAGACAAGGAACCAACAAACUUCUAGAGUCAAGGGACUCAAUUUUGUUUGUAAGCCCAGGAAGCCACCUUUCCCAAAGGCUCAGUUUGCCUGAAGAACCAGAGUUGGACAUGAAACAGUGCUGCUGCCUUUUCCUAUAACUACAACUUAAACAUCUUGCUUACUAACAACUCCAAUUGACAAGUUCUGUGAGGUUGCUAAUGACGGCUGCCCUCAGGAAAGGUCCUGGGGUAGGUAUUGGAGAAAUAAAUUCCAAACAUGACUUUCAAGAAGCCAAUUGCAACAAGUACGUUUUCUUCACACAAUUUAAGGAUGAAAAAUAAUUCCCAAACGGCCACAGGACAACAUGCUCAGUAUCCCUAAUUAUUACAGGAGGAAAAUCAAUCAAAAUAGCAAGAAACCAAAUCA